UACGGAGGGUCCGAGCGUUAAUCGGAAUUACUGGGCGUAAAGCGCGCGUAGGUGGUUUCGUCAGUCAGAUGUGAAAGCCCAGGGCUCAACCUUGGAACUGCACCUGAUACUGCGGAACUAGAGUACGAUAGAGGGGAGUGGAAUUUCCGGUGUAGCGGUGAAAUGCGUAGAGAUCGGAAGGAACACCAGUGGCGAAGGCGACUCCCUGGAUUGAUACUGACACUGAGGUGCGAAAGCGUGGGGAGCAAACAGG
rnacentral:rRNA from 1 species